AAUUAAGGUUGCAAUUCGUCUUUGAAAAAAGAAAAGAAAAGAAAAUUGGAGUUGAAGCUUGUAGGCUACAAGGGACACCAUCACCGCAAUCGGGGAAGCAUUCAGUGGAUCCAUUCCACUCCAUCACUCAUUCUGAACCAACCAACCAUCUACUCUCACACUGCCAUGUUCCGAAGGUCCAUUUUCGAAAUAUCAUCUCGAUCAACGCUUAGAAGACAUUUUAUAAAUCAGACACCUUCACAUCUAGCUUCACGAAAG